rnacentral:rRNA from 1 species
GACAGAGGUGCCAAGCGUUAGGCGGAAUCACUGGGCUUAAAGCGUGUGUAGGCGGAUCGUUAAGUGCCUUGUGAAAUCCCAUGGCUUAACCAUGGAACUGCUCGGCAUACUGGCGGUCUUGAGCCAUCUAGGGGCUACCGGAACAAAUGGUGGAGCGGUGAAAUGCGUAGAUAUCUGGAGGAAUACCGGUGGCGAAGGCGGCAUCCUGGACCGGCAUUGACGCUGAUGAGCGAAAGCUAGGGUAGCAAACGGG